CGGCACCGCAUCCUCCCCACGGCACCGCAUCCCUCCCCACGGCACCGCAUCCUCCCCACGGCACCGCAUCCCUCCCCACGGCACCGCAUCCCUCCCCACGGCACCGCAUCCUCCCCACGGCACCGCAUCCCUCCCCACGGCACCGCAUCCCUCCCCACGGCACCGCAUCCUCCCCACGGCACCGCAUCCCUCCCCACGGCACCGCAUCCUCCCCACGGCACCGCAUCCCUCCCCACGGCACCGCAUCCCUCCCCACGGCACCGCAUCCCUCCGCACGGCACCGCAUCCUCCCCACGGCACCGCAUCCCUCCGCACGGCACCGCAUCCUCCCCACGGCACCGCAUCCUCCCCACGGCACCGCAUCCUCCCCACGGCACCGCAUCCUCCCCACGGCACCGCAUCCCUCCCCACGGCACCGCAUCCCUCCCCACGGCACCGCAUCCUCCCCACGGCACCGCAUCCUCCCCACGGCACCGCAUCCCUCCCCACGGCACCGCAUCCCUCCCCACGGCACCGCAUCCUCCCCACGGCACCGCAUCCCUCCCCACGGCACCGCAUCCUCCCCACGGCACCGCAUCCUCCCCACGGCACCGCAUCCUCCCCACGGCACCGCAUCCCUCCGCACGGCACCGCAUCCUCCCCACGGCACCGCAUCCCUCCCCACGGCACCGCAUCCCUCCCCACGGCACCGCAUCCCUCCCCACGGCACGGCCCUGAGAGCCUCGGCCCGACAAGCCCACCUUUCCCGCCUGAUCUCCCGGGAGAGACAGCGCCGGGCGGCGGAGGGAGCCCAGGCUCUGGGAGCGCCUGAAUGGGGACCCAGCGGGGUCCCUUCCUUACUUCCUGGGUGACCGGAGCCGGGCCCUGCUUAUUAAUUGUAGCUUCUUAUUUACAAGACAUUCGCGUGGGUAAUUUUUCAGCACUGACAACUGCAAAACCUUCCGCACCAACUUUUCCCCUCCUUCCCCCCCCCCCCAAGAUGGCAGGUAGUCCCACACGUGUUAAAUGUGUUCGAGUACAUGUUCAAUACAAUAGAUGUAUACAUGUCCAUAGUUAUUCUCGGGCCCUUCUUACCACCCAUCCCCAACUUCACUUUGUAUUUCAUGUCCUGUAUUCACAUUAUGUCUACAGCUAGAGCGGAAGCCCCACGGGGGCGCAAGGGCCUUAUUUCCUCUCUACAGCGGAAGCUCCACCACACCAGGGCGGAAGCGCUUCAUUUCCUCUCUACAGCUAGAGCAGAAGCCCCACGGGGCCGGAAGCGCUUUCAUUUCAUCCCUACAGCUAGAGCGGAAGCUCCCUGAGGGCAGACCAGCUUUCACUUCCUUUCUACAGCUACAGCGGAAGCUCCCUGGGGUGGAAGCUCUUUCAUUUCAUCCCUAUAGCUAGAGCGGAAGCCCCACGGGCCGGAAGCGCUUUCAUUUCGUCCCUACAACUAGAGCGGAAGCCCCACGGGCCGGAAGCGCUUUCAUUUCGUCCCUACAGCUAGAGCGGAAGCCCCACGGGCCGGAAGCGCUUUCAUUUCGUCCCUACAACUAGAGCGGAAGCCCCACGGGCCGGAAGCGCUUUCAUUUCAUCCCUACAGCUAGAGCGGAAGCUCCCCGGGGGCAGACCAGCUUUCCCUUCCUUUCUACAGCUGCAGCGGAAGCUCCCGGGGCGGAAGCGCUUUCAUUUCGUCCCUACAGCUAGAGCGGAAGCCCCACGGGCCGGAAGCGCUUUCAUUUCGUCCCUACAACUAGAGCGGAAGCCCCACGGGCCGGAAGCGCUUUCAUUUCGUCCCUACAGCUAGAGCGGAAGCUCCCCGGGGGCAGAAGCGCUUUCAUUUCGUCCCUACAGCUAGAGCGGAAGCUCCCCGGGGGCAGACCAGCUUUCCCUUCCUUUCUACAGCUGCAGCGGAAGCUCCCGGGGCGGAAGCGCUUUCCUUUUGUCUCCGUGCCCGCUAACACCGAGAUGGGCUGGAGGACACGCGUUGGAAGGCACCGUGUGAGCUGUGCCCAGAGGAGGGGGACCCCAGAAAGCCUCUGUGGAGGCCCAGGGCUGGGAAAGGAAGGCAAGUGUGCCCUAGUGGAGCAGGGAGGGUCCUGCUGGCCUCUGACACCUUUUCCUUCCUUACAAAGGCCUUCUUCCUGUCUGCCCUGGUUGGCCACUCAGCACAGACCAAAACCCAGGGACUUUUACUCCAACAAAUUUCCCCGGGGCAGGACGUCACCUCCAACAAGGGGGCUUGUUCCUGGUCCCUCGAGGUGUCCCUCAGAGGAACGGGCUGCCGUGAGAGGCACUGUGGGGAGGAUCCCGUGGCCAGGGAGGCUGUUGGGAGAGCUCGGUGGGCUGGGACUUAGAAUUAGUUCCGAGUGGAACAUUUUCUUGAAACCAGGAGCUCAGAUGCCCCUCUUGUUCUAUCCUGGUGAAGGAACUCCCAGCAUGGAAACUCCCUCUAAAGAUGGGCCUUUUUGUAUGUCUAUAUAACCUAAACAUACAUAUACCCAUACACAUUCACAUAAACAUAUGAAUCUGUGUUUCAUUUUAAAGGUUACAAAGUACCUC